rnacentral:rRNA from 1 species
GUGCCAGCGCGGUAAGACGAACCGUGCGAACGUUGUUCGGAAUCACUGGGCAUAAAGGGCGCGUAGGCGGCUUUUUAAGUCAGGGGUGAAAUCCUGAGGCUCAACCUCAGAACUGCCUUUGAUACUGAGGGUCUCGAGACCGGUAGAGGUAAGUGGAACUGCGAGUGUAGAGGUGAAAUUCGUAGAUAUUCGCAAGAACACCGGUGGCGAAGGCGGCUCACUGGCCCGAUACUGACGCUGAGGCACGAAAGCGUGGGGAGCAAACAGGGA